GUAUGUAGUGGCAAUCUAGUAGAAUCGAAAAAGAAUCUCAAGAUGUAAUUCACAUGUGAUUCAGUCUCUCUAUCAUGAGUCCUGACUAGAUGGCAGAUCUUAGAUAAAUCGUCAAAUCUCAUCCUCAGUCAUAUGAUAGAUUCAAUUAGCUCAAAUCCAAUUAUGAUCUUCAUGAAAACUCUUUUUCAUUAAUCAUAUUAUUGUAGCCACAGACUCUUGGACUUAGCCUCUCAAAUCCUAUAGGACUACUCCUCUCUAUCAAGAUCAAUAGGUUCCAUCUAAAUGCGCAUCCUACUCCUACA
rnacentral:lncRNA from 1 species